rnacentral:rRNA from 1 species
ACUCAAAUGAAUAGACGGGGGCCCGCACAAGCGGUGGAGCAUGUGGUUUAAUUCGACGCAACGCGAAGAACCUUACCUACUCUUGACAUCCUCGGAAUCUGAUAGAGAUAUUGGAGUGCCUUCGGGAACCGAGAGACAGGUGCUGCAUGGCUGUCGUCAGCUCGUGUCGUGAGAUGUUGGGUUAAGUCCCGUAACGAGCGCAACCCUUGUCAUUAGUUGCCAGCGGGUAAUGCCGGGAACUCUAAUGAGACUGCCGGUGAUAAGCCGGAGGAAGGCAGGGAUGAGGUCAAGUCAUCAUGGCCCUUACGAGUAGGGCUACACACGUGCUACAAUGGGCGGUACAGAGGGAAGCGAAGCCGCAAGGUGAAGCGAAUCUUAUGAAAGCCGCUCGUAGUCCGGAUUGGAGUCUGCAACUCGACUCCAUGAAGUUGGAAUCGCUAGUAAUCGCGGAUCAGAACGCCGCGGUGAAUACGUUCUCGGGCCUUGUACACACCGCCCGU